GGCCCAUUCAACGUAAUUCUGAUUCGCGAUUACUAGCAACUCCGACUUCAUGUAGGCGAGUUUCAGCCUACAAUCCGAAAUGAGACUGGUUUUAAAGUUUGGCUCCCCCUCACGGUUUAUCAUCUCUCUGUACCAGCCAUUGUAGCACGUGUGUAGCCCUAGACAUAAGGGGCAUGAUGAUUUGACGUCAUCCCCACCUUCCUCCCGGUUAACCCGGGCAGUCUCGCUAAAGUGCUCAACUUAAGGGUAGCAACUAAAAAUAAGGGUUGCGCUCGUUGCGGGACUUAACCCAACAUCUCAAGACACGAGCUGACAACAACCAUGCACCACCUGUCUUCCUGCCCCGAAGGGCUUCCUCCAUUACAAGUAAUUCAGGAGAUGUCAAGUCGAGGUAAGGUUC
rnacentral:rRNA from 1 species